CCAUGAAUCUGGUCUUGGGACACUGUCAGGUGGGCAGUUUGACUGGGGCGGUCGCCUCCCAAAAGGUAACGGAGGCGCUCAAAGGUUCUCUCAGUACGGUCGGAAAUCGUACGUAGAGUGUAAAGGCAAAAGAGAGCUUGAUUGCAAGACAUACAGGUCGAGCAAGGAUGAAAAUCGGACUUAGUGAUCCGGUGGUUCUGCGUGGAAGGGCCAUCGCUCAACGGAUAAAAGCUACCCUGGGGAUAACAGGCUUAUCUCCCCCAAGAGUCCACAUCGACGGGGAGGUUUGGCACCUCGAUGUCGGCUCAUCACAUCCUGGGGCUGUAGUAGGUCCCAAGGGUUGGGCUGUUCGCCCAUUAAAGUGGUACGCGAGCUGGGUUCAGAACGUCGUGAGACAGUUCGGUCCCUAUCCGUCGCAGGCGUAGGAAAUUUGAGAAGACCUGUCCUUAGUACGAGAGGACCGGGAUGGACG
rnacentral:rRNA from 1 species